GUGUGAAUGCUUCAUUCGCCUCACAAACAACCACAGAACCACAAGUGCGGUGCAAACUUUCUCCAGGAGGACAGCAAGAAGUCUCUGGUUUUUAAAUGGUUAAUCUCCGCAGGUCACUACCAGCCACCGAGACCAACAGAGUCAUUUAAGGCUGCAAGCAGUAUUUACAACAGAGUGUACAAGUUCUAUCUGGAAAAGAAGGAGGGACUAUGGCAUCAAACAGCCUCUUCAGCACAGUGACACCAUGCCAGCAAAACUUCUUCUGGGGUGGGGAAACUGCAGUCCAGAGGGGUUUCUUGAACUGCCCAAGGACACAGCACUAUUUAGUGAUACAAGCUGAAACCAAAACUGAGGUCCCCCUGAUUCCUGGUCGAGUUCUUUCUACCACACAACAAGGAACACACAAAUAAAAGUUUAUCUUAAUUAAC